CUACGGAGGGGACUAGCGUUGUUCGGAUUUACUGGGCGUAAAGCGCACGUAGGCGGUUUGGAAAGUCAGAUGUGAAAUCCCAGGGCUCAACCCUGGAACUGCAUUUGAAACUAUCAGACUAGAGAUUGGGAGAGGUAAGUGGAAUUCCGAGUGUAGAGGUGAAAUUCGUAGAUAUUCGGAGGAACACCAGAGGCGAAGGCGACUUACUGGACCAAUACUGACGCUGAGGUGCGAAAGCGUGGGGAGCAAACAGGAUUAGAAACCCUAGUAGUCC
rnacentral:rRNA from 1 species